ACAAUCUGAAGUCUGUGGUUGUGGAUAAGCUUCUGUUGGAGCAGAAGCAUCUGUGGCCAUGGAUAUGUCUGUAGCAUGGCAGGUACACCCCUGGAGAGACUGUGGCACUUGGAUAAGGCUGUGCUGGAGGAGGUGCACCUCAGAGUGACUGUGGCUGUGCCUAAGGCCAGGCCACAUCACCUGUACCCUGCAGAGACUGUGGCCCAUGAGUAGGUCCACACUGGAACAGGUCCAACCCUAAGGAAUUGGGGUCUCUGGAUAAGUCCACACUGCAGCAGAGGCAACGGGAAUGGUACCUGUGAAGAUAUCAAAGGAUGGGAAAGAGGAAGGUGGCUAAAAUGAGGAUCUGUUGGAUAGUAUGGGACCUGAGCAUGAUGUUAAUAGUAGGGAAUAAGGUAUGGAGAUUGUACUGGCUAUGACUGGGAUAGAGUUAAUUUUUUUUUAUAGUAGCUUGUGUGGUGCUAUGCUUUGGAUUUGUGAUGAAAACAGUGUUGAUAAAACACUAAUGUGUGUGCUUCUCAUGUGACACAGAACACCUGCGCUGUGACCAAGGAAGAAGGAUGAGCACUCUCACCCUUAGAUAGGUAUUUUCCUCAUAUGCAAAGUGCAUGAGUUACAAGUUAAUGAAUUGCAUGUUAUGAAUUAGAGAACUUGUGAGUUAGAAACCUCAUGACUGACGUGAUGAAUUAGUGAAUUCAUGAGCUAGACUAGUUUGAUUGAGCCUUUCUUCAUUAUGUUUGCUUUCUUUCCUAAUGAGCUUAUAAAAUAAAGUUUAAUUUGCAAAGUA